GACGAACGCUGGCGGCGUGCCUAAUACAUGCAAGUUGAGCGAUGAAGAUUGGUGCUUGCACCAAUUUGAAGAGCAGCGAACGGGUGAGUAACGCGUGGGGAAUCUGCCUUUGAGCGGGGGACAACAUUUGGAAACGAAUGCUAAUACCGCAUAACAACUUUAACCAUAAGGUUUAAGAUUGAAAGAUGCAAUUGCAUCACUCAAAGAUGAUCCCGCGUUGUAUUAGCUAGUUGGUUAGGUAAAGGCUCACCAAGGCGAAGAUACAUAGCCGGACUGGGAAGGUGGUCCGCCAAAUUGGGAACGGGACCCCGCCCCAGACCCCUCGGGAGGCAGCAGUAGGGGAUCUUUGGCAAUGGACGGAAGUCUGACCGAGCAACGCCGGGUGGGUGGAGGAGGGUUUCGGAUCGUAAAAACCUGUUGGUAGGGAAGAACGUUGGUGGGAGUUGAAAGCGCACCAAGUGACGGUACCUACCCAGAAAGGGACGGCUAACUACGUG
rnacentral:rRNA from 1 species